rnacentral:rRNA from 1 species
UACGUAGGGGGCAAGCGUUGUCCGGAAUCAUUGGGCGUAAAGAGCGUGUAGGCGGUUCAGUAAGUCUGCUGUGAAAGUCCAGGGCUCAACCCUGGGAUGCCGGUGGAUACUGCUGGGCUAGAGUACGGAAGAGGCGAGUGGAAUUCCUGGUGUAGCGGUGAAAUGCGCAGAUAUCAGGAGGAACACCAAUGGCGAAGGCAGCUCGCUGGGACGGUACUGACGCUGAGGCGCGAAAGCGUGGGGAGCGAACAGG